rnacentral:lncRNA from 1 species
AACGGUUCGAUGAGGGAGGAGAAAAUGUUAGAUUUUCACAUGAUGAAACACUGGAUCUCGAGGAAUUUAUUAAGACACACAAAAAAAUAAGGGACAAUGAAACGCACCAUCAGCUACGAGAAGACCUAGUAGAGCACUUGUGGCAACAUCAUCCAGAUGAUUAUUCAUGAAUCACAUUGUAUUAUAUAAAUUCAGUGUGACUCUGUUAAAAUUAUUUUUAUUUCAGCUAUCUUCUAAGGAACUAUUGUAAUCUAUAUUGGAUUCAACGUGUCUUGAUGCACCAGUAUUUCCUAAAGUUAUGGUUUCAUAACUUGACUGUUUCUAUAUAUUAAUCAAACAAAGAUAAUAUGAUUUUGUGAAAGCUAUAUAAGCUAUACAAUAAUGCAGAAGUUAUACUUAACUUUGUAGUUGAUGCCAACCAUAGUAGUACGUGUCAUAUAAUAAUCAGAACUCUGAGCAUAAUCAGUUCCCAACCAACAAUGGGCUGACAGCGUAUACAAGCAAAUUCUUGCGUACAUGCAUCUUAUUUAACAUGCAUGAAUCUGAGAAAAAGUGCCAGAAAUGUUGGAAUCACUAGUGUUGUUAGUAGGUUAUUAGGAUAAAAAUACCUGCGAUUAGCAACAUUCAAUAUCAAGACCAUAUACUGCUGGGAAUUAGCCUCGCGAUACUCUCUCUCUCCUGACUGGAUGCUCAACCGGAAGUACCAAACAGAAGCCAUAUUUGAUUAAAAGCAGAAAUAUGAUAGAACCGUUUCUAAAUGAAAAAAAAUGUCCAGCUUAGAAGUAAAAUAACACUACUUAACCGAAUGAAAUUCAUGACCACCCAGCACUGUCCUGGAUAGGAGGAUAUAACAAAAUAAAUACUACUAACACCAAACAAUGCUCUGUCGCCUCCUCUCAUUGAUAUUUUUAUAAAGCAUCCCUAAUCAAACAAAAUAGAAUGAUAAGUAACCAAAUAGCAUAAUAAAUAAUUCGAACAAAUAAUAAUCACUUACAAGGUCAAUCGGAGUUUUUCAUGCGACGAGCAGUUAUCUCAUUUUGAAGGCUCUUGUAAUACUGUUGUUGAAGUAGAGGCAUUGAAGUAAAAUCUACUGUCAUUAUCCUCUCUUCUUCUAACAUUCUCUUCAAUUGUACUUCAUCAGCCUCCUACGCAACCCUCGCCUGUUCAGCUUGAGCCCUAACUAGUUCACUUGCAACCCUUUUUUCUCUAGUUCAAGCCUAUCUAUGUCUAGUUUGUAAGACUGGUUAUACAUCUCUUCCUUCUUUUGCUCUUUUUCCACAUCUAACUCUUUUUUUUUUCUCCCACAAAUGUUCAAUAGCCUCUAAGCAUCCUUCACCCCCUCCUCUCCUCAGUUGCUCCUUUGCCCUUUUUUUCCCCAUUGGUCUCUUACUUACUUCAUUCUCUGUAGUUUCUAUUUCUCCUACAUCAUGGGAAGUCAUAUCGUUAUUAGUUCUAGUUCUAACUGGACAUGUAUUUGCGUUAGACUUCUGUUUUUUGUUUGCAUUAGCCUUUUCAUCAUCCAUAUGCUUCAUAUGAUCAUGCCACUUGGGUUGCGAACGCAACAAAGACCAGCAAUGAGAGAAUUGAAAUUGCCUUUUCCCAUCUGUAGCAGCAAACAAAGCCAUCGCCUGUGUAAUCUGAACAACUAAAGUCAGAAAAUUAUAGAAAACAUAUAAAAUUUAGAUAAAAGAGCCUACAUUAUUAUGAAUUACCUUGUCCUCAAUGGUACACCCACUUUGUCUUCUUCCCUCAAUUUGACUAACACACCCACAAAACUUGUUCANNNNNNNNNNNNNNNNNNNNNNNNNNNNNNNNNNNNNNNNNNNNNNNNNNNNNNNNNNNNNNNNNNNNNNNNNNNCGUUGCAAGACUUGGCAGUAGUGGCGGUGUAAGUGGUCGGGUAUGACCCGCCCGACCGACCAACCCACUGGCCCAAGUCUUGCGGGUAAGAUAAGAUCGAGACAGAACCGCGUGAAUCCUAGAUAUUGCCUAGCUAGGUGGGUUCGACGCAGUUUUAAGCAUGGCAUGAUGAGUAGCACACGGUAUAUUAUAUGUUGUCUAAUCCCCAUGACAAUACGUGACACACACGUUGUGCAGCAUGCCAGCGAUCACCGCAGAUAAUAAAUUUGAUGAUUUGACACUUUUUUCGUUGAUAGAUUAUAUACGUCGAUAUUUGUGAGUAUGGUAUUUAGGACCAUACGAACCAAUAAUAAUGUGCCAGCAUGUUAAAUAAUUGAACAUCAAUCUUAUAGAAGUGUCAAAAAAAAUCAAAUCUCUCUCCGCCGAUGGCCCCUGCGUCAGCGACGCAUGAUAACCCUACAUUUUCCCGCUACCUCUUACUUGAGUGUAUUAACAAUGGCUCACAGGCGCUAACUAAUUCUUAUAAACCGACACCGAUAAAUAACUAUAGAUAUCGGUUGCAACGAGGAAACACCACCACCACCACCACCUAGGGAUGGGCAUGGGUUGGCCUAUGCAUAAUCAGUGGCCGACUUUAAUUCAAUAAAUAAACUUUUUAUCUUUAACCUCAAAAAUAAAUCAUAGUUCUCCGAAAUGAAACUUAAUUUAUCAAUUUGAGCUAGAGCCGGCCAAAGGCCAUGAAUCACUCACGGGUCAACCUGUGGCCAUCCCUACCACCACUUUAUGGGAUGAGCCCUCCAAGAAUACAUAUAGGUGAUUGUCCACAUAAUAAAUUGGCACCUAUAAUAUUUAUAGGUGCCGGUUCACCUCAACAACCUACACAUAUCACUAUUAUAAGUUUACGCAUCUAUUAAGACUAUAUUGGUGAUUUCUACGGGGUGUCAGUUGAAAAAAAUGACACUUUUCAGUACUAUAAAAAUGAUUUUCAUGGAUGGUCCCACACUAAAUUUCAUAUGGACCGAUAGAUAGUGGUCUGCGAUAUGGUCAGUCACGAGGGGAGCCCUAACCUACGUGUGAAAACUUAUUAUUGUAGGCAUGCCAAUAACAGUAUCGUCUAGAAAGGUAAUGUCACAAUUGCAGGCGCAUCACUAAGAGGCUAGUAUAGAAAAAUUGAUUACCCUAUGAGGACUUUUAAUGGUUGCCCUGCAAUAACGCAUAUAUAAAAAAAUACAUAUUUGCAUAUAAGUUUUUCAUAUGAAGCUGGAUAAAGAUUAAUAUUAUAUGAAAAAAAAUUGUUGGGAUUGACGAUAUCUAAAACUUUGUAGUUGAUAUUUUUUUUUCAUUUGAGAUUUUUUUAUAGGCCUAAGUAUUCCCUAUAUUAUCUCAUACUUGUUGUUUGAAAGCGAGAUGCUAUUAUUUUGACUUCAUAUCCUAAACAUGUAAUGUUUAUAAAUGAUGUUAAAUGAAAAAUAAUCAAUUACAAAGUUAUGGAUCCAAUUGAACAUUAUAAUUUUCAUAUAGAUAACAUAUUCAUUUCAGAUCAUUUGAAACAUAGUUAUGAGAUUUUGUAAAAACAUAUAGGAGCAAUUAUAGUGAAUAUUUCGACCUGUAAAAUAUCUCAAAUGAAAAAAAAAUGUUUUAGAGCUCAUCAAGGCCAACAACUUUCAAAGAAAAUAUGUAUUUAUCUGACUUCAUAUGUAAAAAUUAACUAUAAAAUAUUUAUUAUUACAGACAGGUCAUUAAAAGGCAUGGAUGGGAAAAUCUAUUAUCCCUGGCGGGCUUCUUAGAGCAUCUCCAAUACAGGGCUUAAAAUUAAGUUCUAAAAAUUAUGUAUUGGAGGCCUUCUAAAAAAUAAUGGCCUAAAAAAUUCCCACUACUCCAAUAGAAGCCCAAAAAUAAAGUCCUAAAAAUAGUUAGUUGAUCAAAUCAACCAAAUUAGUUGAGAUAGGAUCGUUCUCUUCCUUUUCUUUAAGUCGCCGCCCGCCAACAUACGACGUCGCCGGCGCUGCGUACGACGCCGCCGCCUGCCGUGUACGUGCCGUGGAUUGCCCGUGGACGGUAUUUUUUUUUCUUUUUCUCCGUGCCACAUUGCUCUCUUCUUUCUCCUCCCCUUCUAUAAUUAAUGGUCCGAUGAUUUUUUUUGUGUAGAAACACAGUUGGGAUUGAUCUGAAAUUUAUGAAAAUUAAUUCUUCGUACUCUCAAAUAUUAUAUAUUUUACGGCAUAUUUGUAGUCUAAUAAUGAAAAGUUUUGCAGCUCAACCAAUCUGCAAUGAGUUAUCCCCGUUCCUUAUUUCAACAGCUAUUAGAUGAAUCCUCAUCUGACGAUGAUGAUGAAUUUUUAUUGGCGACAACACAAAUCUUGUAUUCAUAUGAACACUCUAUUAAUUUACCAAAACAUGGUGGGUUUAUUGCUAGACGAUUGACCGUAGCCGAGAAGCACGACACUUGAGAUUAUACCACGAUUACUUCUCCGAUAAUCCGACUUACGGGCCGAUUUAUUUUAGACGCAGGUUUGUACCAAGUCUAUUUAAUUUAUUUAAUCAUGGUUGCGAAUGAUAAUAUAUUCGUCCCUAUUAUAUUUUGUUUUGUUCAUGCAGGUUUAGAAUGAGUCGUUCUCUUUUUGUACGCAUAAUGAAUACAGUAGAGCAACAUGAUGACUAUUUUGUGCAGAAGAGAAAUGCAGCUGGCGUACUUGGAUUAAGUUGUUUGCAGAAGGUCACUGUAGCGCUUCGUCAAUUGUCUUACGGUGUAGCUGCAGAUGCUGUAGAUGAUUAUUGUGGCCUUGGUGAAAGUACCGCUCUUGAGAGUUUGAGAAGGUUUGUUAAAUCAAUUGUUGCAGUUUUUGAACAUGAGUACUUAAGAUCACCUAAUACAAACGAUACGGCUCGAUUACUUGCACUUGCAGAGAAAAGAGGGUUCCCUGGAAUGUUAGGUUCUAUAGAUUGCAUGCAUUGGAAGGGGAAGAAUUGCCCUUCAGCAUUUCAAGGUAUGUACUCCGGCCACUUGCACGAGCCUACAAUAAUUUUAGAAGCUGUUGCUGCAAAGGAUCUCUGGAUUUGGCAUGCUUUUUUUGUUUACCUGGGUCUCAUAAUGAUAUAAAUGUGUUACAUCGAUCUCCAUUGUUUGCAAAGCUAGCUAAAGGUGAGGCUCCUAAAGUAAACUAUAACAUAAAUGGUCAUAAUUAUACGAUGGGAUACUAUCUUGCAGAUGGCAUAUACCCAUCUUGGGCGACAUUUGCCAAAACCAUACCAGAACCACAGGGUAAUAAGAGAAAAUAUUUUGCAAAAGCACAAGAAGCGGUAAGAAAGGACGUGGAACGAGCCUUUGGGAUUCUACAAGCUCGUUUUGCCAUUGUUCGUGGGUCGGCUCGAUCAUGGGAUGAAGAGACACUGGGAUAUAUUAUGAAAGCGUGUGUCAUCAUGCAUAAUAUGAUAAUAGAAGAUGAGGGAGAAGUGGAUCCUAGAGAACGGUUCGAUGAGGGAGGAGAAAAUGUUAGAUUUUCACAUGAUGAAACACUGGAUCUCGAGGAAUUUAUUAAGACACACAAAAAAAUAAGGGACAAUGAAACGCACCAUCAGCUACGAGAAGACCUAGUAGAGCACUUGUGGCAACAUCAUCCAGAUGAUUAUUCAUGAAUCACAUUGUAUUAUAUAAAUUCAGUGUGACUCUGUUAAAAUUAUUUUUAUUUC